CGGUUAAGGCAGACGAGAAAACCGCCAACGUCUAGUUCGCUACUCGACCAUCGAUCCAUCAGCACGUAUCGAUACAUUGUUCGUGAUACGCCAUUUUCCCGAUUCUCUGAAUAAACUUGUUGAGUUAUAUACUUCCACAAUAAUCCACGGAACCAUAAAACCUACAGAGGUUACGAUGAGUACGCCGACUUCCGAUUGCGCAGCGUCAUCGAACCACCAACACGUGAAGUACAUAUGUGAAGGAAUGAUAUUCGUGUUCUAAAAAUCACAGUUAAUUCGUUCUUUAUUGAAAGUAUAACGUUAGCGCUUGGUCGAGGAGUUGUACGGCAAGAAGAAGUAGCGCGCGUUCGAUCGCGUUUAUAUACGCGCUCGGUCAAACAUUCUCGAAGAAAACUCUUCAGACGAGGGCGUACGUUACCCAGGUCAUGGUGGUCCCCUUGGUCAUAAAUUUGUCAAUGGGCCUGGACUAUCUUUCAGGCCCCCAAGUAUCGACACGCAAAAGGGCGAACUGUCUACACUAAUAAUAUUGAGGAAGAGUAUAAUGCAAGAUAAUCUUAUCGUUUUAAUCGCGUCGAGGAAGGAACUACCCUAUUUCACUGCCUACGAAUCUUAGUGCAAUAUGCGGUGCAGCUAGGGGGCGACUUGCAUUCGGGGAGCGUCUUGCCGAUCUUGAGUUAGACUGUCUCUCAUCCCGCUGGUCUUCCGAGUUACAUCCUCCUGCCCUUAGAUAAGGACAGGAAGCAAGCCACACUGACGCCAAAGCCACAAAAUGCGCCAAAAUCCCGGUGAAAGUGCUCACGUGGCUGAUCGAAAAAACCCUUACUCGUACGAUUCUGGCUGCCAGAUGCGUGUACUGACCGUAGCCCGAUUCCCACAGGCCUUAGCGGAACGCGAAAAAAUGUAUACAGGUAUAUGGAAAAUAAAACUGCCUCGCUACAACCCCUUGUCCUACAACAACGAGUGAGAUUCGUGGUACAGAUUUUCAACAUGAUUUAAUAAAUAUAUAUAUAAUUCAAGUAAAUAU